rnacentral:rRNA from 1 species
UACGAAGGGGGCUAGCGUUGCUCGGAAUCACUGGGCGUAAAGGGUGCGUAGGCGGGUCUUUUUAAGUCAGGGGUGAAAUCCUGGAGCUCAACUCCAGAACUGCCUUUGAUACUGAGGAUCUUGAGUUCGGGAGAGGUGAGUGGAACUGCGAGUGUAGAGGUGAAAUCCGUAGAUAUUUGGAGGAACACCGGUGGCGAAGGCGGCUAUCUGGAUGAAUAUUGACGCUGAGGUGCGAAAAGCGUGGGGGAUCAAACAGGG